AAGUUCCUGCACAGCCACAAAUCACCUUUACAUUAUCAAACCAACGAGAGCUUUUCAAGCUAGCAUCCGAGGAGCUGCAAUGAAGUUUCGGUAUUUGCAGUUUCAGCUUUGGGAAAUACCUACACACUCUGCAUGUAAGCAGGACUCUGUACAUCAGAGAGACAGGAAGGAGUCAACAAAAGGAACACAAGCUGAGAGAUGAAGCGCUGCAGGAGCAGCUCCACGAGCUCUCCUGCAGAGGCGGCGUCGACCCGGGCUGCCUGCUGCCUGCUGGAGGCUGCUGGCUGGUGCCUGUUUUCUCCACAGGGGCGAAUCAAUCCAGAGCUGUGCUCACGUCUCCACAGGGAGAGGGCGGGCUUAAUUUAGGCCUCAGCAGAAAAGAGACAUUACAGCUCAUCAUGUUCCUGGAAUCAAGAGGUUAUGUAGUUUCUACAUCUCCUGGCUCAUUUUUAGGUAAAACUAUGCAGCCCUGAUGUAUCUCCCAAACACACCCACAGUAACGUCAGUGACUGUGCAUGACUCACAUCUCCACAGCAGUGUGUGUGAUGGAUUGCUUUUCCUCCUCCGCCGAUGUCUCUGGUGUCAUCCCUCACGGAAUUUUCUUCAUCCUGUAGCAUCUCAUCAACGCUGCGCACACUGCCAGUGGAAUAACUGCAGUGCAGAGAUAACACAGAGGACAAUGACGCCAUCCAUCAAGAUACUAAACAAAACUUACCCGCGUUUCCAGUGUUGCAGGAAAAACAAUCGACUUGUUGGCAGCUGAAGAGGCCUGCAGCUUCAUGCUCCAGUAUCUGCUGCAGCUCUCAGUCAAACAAAGCUCCUUAUGCAGGUUAAACAGCCCUACAGUCAUGCAAACGAUUCACACCUGGAUCAGUGACAUGCCUUACGGGAAAACAAACUGUAAAAUGAGGUGUUGAACAGCAGGAAUAACCUGCAGAUAAAGCAAAGGGAUGACUUGUUUCUGUGUACUCUUGAUUUGAAACAAAAUGUGGAUUUCCUGCAGCAGCGUGUCAGAACAUGAGAGACACUCUAAGGUUGCUUGGUUCAUCGCCCGGUUUACAACCUGCUCUUUAUAAACCUCCUGUUUUUGGUAGCAUGGCUUUGAAACUGUGGGUGACAGGCCUGCAGGAAACUCAUCAUCUCCUGCUCUACCAUGUGCACACUUGAUUCAUCCUGUUUCCAUGCUCUGACAGCUGAACGCAGACACAUGUCUAAACAGAUCUGCAGAAAAGAGUGCUUUGAUAAACUUUGAUAGACUGUGAGUCAUGCUCAGACCUGUGAACGGCUGAGUUAUGGCCUCAGGUUUUAAGUGGAUGUAAUAACCGGUGAGGUGGUGCUGAUGAUACUUGAUCAUUUCAAUUAUGCAUCAGGGUUGUGCAGCCAGAGAAUGUCCUGCCCUGCAUGUUUUUUAUGUGGGUGUCGAUAGUGAAGGCCUACCCUGACACAAUGCUUCAGCUGCACAAUAAACAAUGGAGGCAGUUUAA